CAAAAAUUACUACUAGACUGAAUCCUCUAACGCUUGCUCUGGCUGGAUCCACAGACAAUCCUGCUGACUUUAUCUGUCUUCUUCCUACUUCGAAAUCCCAUCUGUUUCUUACUCCUGGUAUUCACCUCUCUGAAGACGCAUCUCUCUUCCUUAAGACACGAUGGCAUCAUUUUUUUCUGAUUUUGGCCUUAUGUGGUACUUGGAAGAGCUAAACAAGAAAGAAUUCAUGAAAUUUAAGGAAUUACUCCAACAGGAGAUUUUGCAGUUGGGGCUGAAACAGAUUUCUUGGACCGAAGUGAAGAAGGCAUCUCGUGAAGACCUUGCCAACUUACUGUUGAAACAUUAUGAGGAGAAGAAAGCCUGGGAUAUGACCUUCAAAAUCUUCCAGAAGAUGAAUAGGCAGGAUCUCAUGGAGAGGGCAGGAAGAGAGAUUGCUGGACACUCAAAGUUAUAUCAAGUUCAUUUGAAGAAGAAGCUGACCCAUGAUUAUGCCAG